AUGCUCGGCAAGCGGCAGCGGAGCAUGCUGAUGCGCCGGACGACCAGCCUGGCGUCCAUGCCGUCGGUGCCCAAGCAGGUGCGCCAGGGCAGCGGCGGCGGCGGCGGCGACGACGACGACAAGGACAGGCAGGCGCGCGCGCGGCCGUCCUCCUCCGUAUCGGCCGGCGCGGUGGGGACGGGCGGCGGCGCCGGCGGUGGCUACCCCUCUCCCGGGCGGGACGCCUUCGCCGGGCUGAUGAUCACCGCGGCGUUCCUGUCCGCCUGCGGCUUCUGCGCCAAGCCCCUCGGCCCCGGCGAGGACACCUACAUCUACAGGGGCGAGGUGGCAUUCUGCAGCCAGGAGUGCAGGGAGCAUCAGAUCGCGAAGGACGAGCUCAUGGAACAGAACUGCACCAUCACAUCCAUCCGGGAGGCCCCGUCGGACCAGUCUGGCAGCGGCGGCGGCUCCGGCGGCGCCGGGGACGCCGUCGCCACCGCAUAG
rnacentral:rRNA from 1 species